UUUCAGCUUGAUGGCAUGUGGGUAUCUAGCACAUAUGACUUGCUCAACAUCUGAAACUGUUAAGGUUCAAGAAGACUCGGAAUACACUGCAUGUCAUUUUAACCAUGGCAGCAACUCUCUAGGAAAAAUCUGAAGACAAAUCAUUGAAGGAAAGAGACUGAUCAGAGAUUUCUUAAAUUGACCCUUACUGGUCAAUUACAAGCAAUCCAUUUGUGUUUCUAACACACCCUUCUCCCCAAAUAUCUCGGGGUGGGGCACAAUGAAACACACACCCGUAUGUGUGUGUGUGUGUGUGUGUAUUGCCACAAUACAAAUGCACACAGGGCAGAAAUUACAGAAACUAGGAUAGCAAAUAACAAAUCCACAGAAAACCAAAUACAGAGUGCCCAGCAGUGUAGAUGUCAACCCAGUUGGAAUAGGGUGGUAUUCUACAAUUGGGGUACCAUGGCAGAGAAGACCCUUUCACUGGUUACUGCACAACAGAUGCCAUUCCCAUAUGGAGUCACUAACAAGCCUUCCUCAUUAUCUUAACUCAAGAGGCUGGUUGGUAUGGAAGAAGGUCUCAAAGUAUCUAUAGAUGCAAGCUAUUUCUAGCUUUAUAAGCCAUCACAAACACCUAGUGGAAAAUUGGCAGCCAAUGCAGCACUUUCAGGACUGUCUUGAUAAUUGAAUCCACUCAGUAACCGAGUAGCUGCAUUCUGCACAAGUUGUGGCCCCUGGACCCUCUUUGCCAUAAUAUUCAUAGUAAUCGAACUGUCUCAUUAAUUAAUUCAGAUUACCAGCACAUCAAUCACUGCAGGAAAUUAUCCCUGCCCAGGAACAGCUGUAGCUGAUCAACCGGUAGCUAGUAGAAGAUGUUUCUAGCCACCAAAGCCACCUGGACCUUCAGUGGCAAUGACAGAUCAAGGCAAACCUCCAAGAAAACACACAAGCCAUGCAGUAGUUACAAUGUCGCACCAGGGCUGCAGAAGCCCAGGUUCGAAUUCACACUCAGCCAUCAAGCUUGCUGGUGACCUUGUGCCUGUCACCAUCCCUCAGCCUUACCCUAACCCAAAGGGUUUGUGUGAGGACAAACUGGAGAGGGGAUUAUCAUAUGCAUAAGAACCUAAGAAGAACCCUAUUGGGUCAGCCUAUCUAGUCCUCCUGUUAUCAUGGAGGCAAACUAGAUCCCUGCUGAAAGCCCACAAGGACAUGAACACAGGGACGUUCCACUGUUCUUCGGCAAUACUUGUUCUUCUGUAUGCUUGGCAAUUUAUAUAUUUAAUCAUGGUUCCAACCAGUUUCCCCAGAACACUUGUUAAUGUAGGUAGCCUGUGAUUUCCUGAAUUCCCACCCCUCUCCCAGAUCUCUCUUGAAGAAUUUGUGUUAUAUUGACCACUUUCUAAUAUUCAAGUAUGGAUGUCAAUCUCAGGAACAAGUUAUAUAUAUCUUGGUUAGAAGAUCGAAAAUUUUACAUCUGCGUUAUUUAAGAACUGUUGGGUAGAUACCAUCUAGAACUGGUGAAUUGUUAGUUUUGAGUUAUCAAUAAGGCAUCUCUCAUCACCACUAUUUGCCUAAGUCUUUCAGAUUUCCUUCCAGAUACAUCAGUUCAGGCACAGGCUUCUGCCCUGUUUUCCACAAUGAAAACAAAUGCAAAUAAUUCCAUUUCUCUGCAAUCUCCUUUUCUUCCUUUAGCACACUUUUAAUUCUACUGCCAUCCAACUGCCUCUGCUGCUGGGCUCCUACUAAUACAGUGGUACCUCGGGUUAAGUACUUAAUUUGUUCCAGAGGUCCGUUCUUAACCUGAAACUGUUCUUAACCUGAAGCACCACUUUAGCCGCGAUGCCGGAGCACGAUUUCUGUUCUCAUCCUGAAGCAAAGUUCUUAACCCGAGGUACUAUUUCUGGGUUAGCGGAGUCUGUAACCUGAAGCAUAUGUAACCCGAGGUACCGCUGUAAAGGAUUGUUAUUGUUGGUCGUAAUGUUUUCAUCCAUAUGUUCUCUGAGCCCUUUUUUGAAUUCCUUAUUGUCUGCUUGCCUUCCCUUGCCAAAGUUGUGUUCCUUUUCGUUCUCAUUUGGGAUCACUUUAAAAGGUGUUCUGCCAACUUUUUGAUUUUAAGAGCCAACAGUUUCCACUCUAUGCUUCCUUGAGUUCCUUGGAAGAAAGGUAAGAUAUAAAUGCAAUAAAAUAAACAGCAACUAACAUGCACAUGUCAGGAAGCCGGUAAUUGGACAGGCAUUUGGCUCCCAUAAUAUAUGCAAAGUGCCUUAAGAGAAAGCAAGAGGAGGAAGUUCAGUUGGCAGUACUAAUUCUUAUUCCAGGUUUGGGACCAGACCAAUGGUAAAUGGACAGAAGAGAACCACUUGACCUCACAAGGUAUUAAGAAAACAAGUUGCAGAGGAACUGGAAAGGGAUUUCAAGCUCAUGUAAGAUUUCAGCUACAAGCACAAACAUAAUAUGCAAAUCAUGAUGUGCUAAUUAGUAGCUUGCUUCCCGUACCCUUUGUCCUUCUUAACAACUUCCAUCCCAGGUGAGGCCCUGGUAUCUUCCCUUCAAUACUGCAAAUAUUAUCUAAAUUAUACUAUUCAUUAAUUCUACCACUUAUGAGUGCCUUUGCACCCCCAAACUCUGUAACCCCAGAGCUGUAACAAUAUGUAGAACAUGGCUGUAAGAGUACUUAAAAAUUGAAUUGAAAGCAUAUAAUUGUUCAGUAGCAAUGAUGUUUAUUGCUGAACACUCUUAGGAUCAUCUUGUUCUUAGCAAUGGAAACUGUGCCAGACUUUUGAAUGUUUACUUAAAAAAAAAUUAACAGGAAAGUCAUGUGAUUAAUCAUCCUUCCUUUGAUCUUUUUGUAUGCUUGGUUUUGGCCACUCAGGGGCCCUCCCCCUACCAGCUGACAGUUGUAUGUAUGAAAUCUCUUCUUAGGAUCUUUCAAAAUGGAGAAAAAAUAGAUGAUUAUAGGCUUACUAAAUCAAUCAUCAAGAAGAACCAUCUGGCAUCUCCCAUCAUGGAUUUCUUUAACACAUAAUGAUAGUGAUUUUGGUUUUUCAUACAAAAAACCCCCCUGAAAGGUGGGUGGCCUUUAAAAAAAUAAAGUCAAUUUUUAAUUUAAAUCUUUUGGUACAAUAUGAACUUUUUGAAACUUGUCAUAUAUUAUAACCAAGGGUAUAUUAACCCAAAAGAGUUUUUAUAUAACUGAUCUUACACAAAAAUGCCCUAAAGAUUUAAAAGAUUAUUCAUUAAUUUUCUACAUGCACCUAUCUUGCAGUAGGGAGGAUUAGCAAGGAUUGGAUGAGUCAUUACUGGUUCAAUUUAAUAUAUGACACAGGAGCAGAAAAGUUGCAACUUGCCUGUAACUUUUCUCCUGACCUGGGUGUCUCCUUGUUGGAACUCAUUUCUCUCUCUCUCUCUCUCUCUCUCUCUCACACACACACACACACACACACACACACGGAGAGAGAGAGAGAGAGAGAGAGAGAGAGAGAGAAAUUAAGGGGAAUUAUUCAUUUUCCAUAGAAUACAUGUAAUGUGCAUUUUUUGCAAAAAAAUAAUCAUACACAUUUCUACUGCCAGUUUUCUGUAGUUUAUUUGUUAAACAUUCAUUACUCACCUUUCCUUAUCUAUACAGCAGUUUAUCAUCUUACAACAGCCUCCAUAGAAUUUCAGUACCGUAUCUAAAGGUGCAAACUUUCAUAAACUUCUGCUUAACUAUCACUUUCAUUUGGCAAUAAAAGUUUUAAUGCAACAGUUUAGUGUUAGUGUAUGGACUACCGGAUAAUUAUGUAAUAUAGUCUUGCUCUUGCUUAUUUAAUUUUCCAGCCAUAACAGCUGGGGCUUUUCAACACAGGAUACAAAAAACUUCAGUGCUUUUCCAUCACAAAAAGAACCAGACCUUCAUAGUGAAUAAUUUCAGAAGCCAGCCAGGGUCAAGAAGUACAGAGUUAUAUUUAAUGAAAGUACACUGGGAAAGAGAUAAUUUUGGAACACAUCUAGCAGAAUUUCUCUGCUCCCUCUUUUCUUUGUCGUGCAAAGAGAAUGCCAUCAAUUUUCAAGUGCUGCUGAUGAACUACCUUCUAAGCAACAGAAAAAUACGGCUCAGACUAUACUGUACUGCUAUACGCAAAACAAACCAAAG